ensembl:lncRNA
UUCCCAUACAGCCAUAUCUUUUUAUGUAUUCACAUUUUGUUUUAUAGCCUUCAUAAAAUUUCACAGUUUUCAUAUAGGUACUGUGCCUUUCUAGUUAAAUUUAUUCCUAAGGACGUCCUUCUUACUGCUAUCAUGAUUGGAACAUUUUUCCCAUUACUAAUCCUGUUUCCUCCAUUCUUUUGCUAGAAUGGAGCAAGGCUAUUGGUUUAUGUACGUGUCCAGAAGCAGAGCACAAACCGAGGUUCCCUUUGUGCCAGGUGGAAGAAAUUCAUUUCCAUCUGGCUUUUCCCAGCUUUUCUCCAGGAGGGGUUUUAAUUCAGUAGAGUCGACACAGUGCCAGGAAGCGAGAGGGUCCCGAGUCCUUGUCCCAGCCACCAUCCCCUGAGACAGCCAUGGUCUCCUUGCGUCCUGUCUCUUGUCCUUACCGGCCUGUGCUGCAUUGUCCCGCUUUUCUUUCUGACGAGUCUUCCCUCCUCCUUCUCUGUCUCUCUCCCUCUUCCUCCCUCCAGCAGGUGGCUCAUAUGGUAAAGAAUCCAUCUGCCAAUGCAGGAGAUGCAGGACACCCAUGUUCAAUCCCUGGGUCAGGAAGAUCCCCUGGAGGAGGAAAUGGUAACCCAUUCCAGUGUUCUUGCGUGGAAAACUCCAUGGACAGAGGAGCCUGGCAGUCUACAGUCCAUGGGGUGGCAAAGAGUCGGACACGACUGAGCACACACAUGCCCACACCUCCGUAUCACGCUAGGCAGUGGGAACCUCCCUAGCGCCCCCUCUGUCCAAACACAGCACCCAGCAUUUCCAUCCAGGAAUUAAGACACAGACCCCCUUGCACUUGGAUCCCAAGUGUCUACGUGGGGUCCUCUCCUUGAGUGAAGGGGCUACAGAGUGAUCCCCUUUUCCCAGGGACCUGCAACAUCUUCUCAUCCCUUGCUCCUCCUUCCUCUUCGUGUCUGGAGACUCCGCUCCACUCUUUCUUCAUUCUCUUAAAUCUAGGUUCAUGCCACGAGUUACAGAAAUACUCAAAAGGGGAUCUUUCCGACCCAGGGAUCGAACCCACAUCUCCUGCAUUGCAGGUGGAUUCUUUACUCCUGAGCCAACAGGGAGGCCCAUCUAACGCUUAGGAAUCUAGGCCACUAGCAUAGUAACAAAC